ACCAGCACCCCGAGUGGUCGGGACGAUUAUUGGGCCUAAAGCAUCCGUAGCCGGUUCUGCAAGUCCUCCGUUAAAUCCAACUGCUUAACAGAUGGGCCGCGGAGGAUACUACAGAGCUAGGAGGCAGGAGAGGCAAGCGGUACUCAGUGGGUAGGGGUAAAAUCCGUUGAUCCAUUGAAGACCACCAGUGGCGAAGGCGGGUCUCUGGACAGUUCCUGACACUGAGGCACGAAGGCCAGGGGAGCAAACGGGA
rnacentral:rRNA from 1 species